GUCCACGCCGUAAACGAUGUCAACUAGCCGUUGGAGACCUUAGAGUCUUUAGUGGCGCAGCUAACGCACUAAGUUGACCGCCUGGGGAGUACGGCCGCAAGGUUAAAACUAAAAUGAAUUGACGGGGCCCGCACAAGCGGUGGAGCAUGUGGUUUAAUUAGAUGCAACGCGAAGAACCUUACCGCCCCUUGACAUCCUGGGAACUCGCUAGAGAUAGCUUGGUGCCGAAAGGAACCCAGAGACAGGUGCUGCAUGGCUGUCAU
rnacentral:rRNA from 1 species